rnacentral:rRNA from 1 species
GACGAACGCUGGCGGCGUGCUUAACACAUGCAAGUCGAACGGAAAGGCCCUGCUUGCAGGGUGCUCGAGUGGCGAACGGGUGAGUAACACGUGGGUGAUCUGCCCUGCACUUUGGGAUAAGCCUGGGAAACUGGGUCUAAUACCGGAUAUUCCUUGCUGGUUNCAUGGCUGGUGGGGGGAAAGCUUUUGCGGUGUGGGAUGGGCCCGCGGCCUAUCAGCUUGUUGGGGGGUGAUGGCCUACCAAGCGACGACGGGUAGCCGGCCUGAGAGGGUGGUCCGGCCACACUGGGACUGAGAUACGGCCCAGACUCCUACGGGAGGCAGCAGUGGGGAAUAUUGCACAAUGGGCGCAAGCCUGAUGCAGCGA